AUUUUUGAGUCUGAGGCUCUUUCCAACGCUGUACAAAAGGACAGAGGCUGUUCCCCAUGGCAGAAGGCAACCACAGAAAAAAGCCACUUAAGAUGUUGGAAUCCCUGGGCAAAGAUUUCCUCACUGGUGUUUUGGAUAACUUGGUGGAACAAAAUGUACUGAACUGGAAGGAAGAGGAAAAAAAGAAAUAUUAUGAUGCUAAAACUGAAGACAAAGUUCGGGUCAUGGCAGACUCUAUCCAAGAGAAGCAACGUAUGGCAGGACAAAUGCUUCUUCAAACCUUUUUUAACAUAGACCAAAUAUCCCCCAAUAAAAAAGCUCAUCCGAAUAUGGAGGCUGGACCACCUGAGUCAGGAGAAUCUACAGAUGCCCUCAAGCUUUGUCCUCAUGAAGAAUUCCUGAGACUAUGUAAAGAAAGAGCUGAAGAGAUCUAUCCAAUAAAGGAGAGAAACAACCGUACACGCCUGGCUCUCAUCAUAUGCAAUACAGAGUUUGACCAUCUGCCUCCGAGGAAUGGAGCUGACUUUGACAUCACAGGGAUGAAGGAGCUACUUGAGGGUCUGGACUAUAGUGUAGAUGUAGAAGAGAAUCUGACAGCCAGGGAUAUGGAGUCAGCGCUGAGGGCAUUUGCUACCAGACCAGAGCACAAGUCCUCUGACAGCACGUUCUUGGUACUCAUGUCUCAUGGCAUCCUGGAGGGAAUCUGCGGAACUGUGCAUGAUGAGAAAAAACCAGAUGUGCUGCUUUAUGACACCAUCUUCCAGAUAUUCAACAACCGCAACUGCCUCAGUCUGAAGGACAAACCCAAGGUCAUCAUUGUCCAGGCCUGCAGAGGUGGUGAGUGCUGAGACUGAACAUCUAACAGUUAUGAAGGUGUAUGCAGAGGAUUGUGAUGUUUGGUUUAUAUUUAGGGGCAACAGUCUUAGACCCCAUCCAGUGUAAAUAAAGUACAUUGAAUUCUAAAGAAACUCUACCUAA
rnacentral:sRNA from 1 species